rnacentral:lncRNA from 1 species
AAAAUCAAUCAAAGAGCAGAAUGCUCUGAGGGAUACGAUUGCCAUAUAGUUUUCAUUGACACAUGUAUAGCAGUUCUGCCAACUUUUCAUUAAGCAAAUUCGUGAGAUUUGGACAAAAUAGAAAAUAUCAAAGAGGAAAAAAUUGAUCCAACGAUACUGCUGCAAAAAAGCAUGAACAUGCGUGAGUCUCACACAUUUUUGGCAGCCCUGGCCUUGAAGGCAUAAAACUUUGCUCAGUGCUUGGAGCACAAAAAUCAUGCUCGAAACAAGAAAUCAAGCAAUUUCAUUGGUUGAUUUUCGAGUAUGAGUACAAAAAAACUGACUCGAAAGUUUUAUGACCGCAAGGCCUGGUACAGCUGGAUAGUAUUAUAUUCAAAACUAACUCAACUGCACAUGCAAAGGUAAUAUAAAUCUGAAUAGUCACUCAACUUUAAAAAUAGCUAAUCCCGGAUACAAGUGUACGAGCAAUGUCCUUAUUGUGUUUUAUUUGUGUGCUAUGAAUUCCAAGUUUACUUUCCACAGCAGUCACUGAGAGAGAGAGAGAGAGAGAGAGAGAAGGUAUUUCACUUCAUAGUUCGAGAUUACUCUGAUGUCCGACGGCUGAUUUGCCAGACAAGCUGGGCCCGUGGGGGACUUUUAUGCUAGUAUACUUAAAAAUUACAAACUUAAAUAGUCCCAGUCCCAUAUAUUAUAUCAAGUAUUAUUGGAUGCCGAAUUGAAUUUUAAAUAUAUAGGUGCCGAUUUGACUAGAUGCCGAUUUAACCAGGUGCCGAUUUGACUUUUUCUAUGGGUGCCGAUUUGACCAGGUGCCGAUUUGACUUGUACC